GAUGAACGCUGGCGGCGUGCCUUAUACAUGCAAGUCGAGCGAACAGAUGAGGAGCUUGCUCCUCUGACGUUAGCGGCGGACGGGUGAGUAACACGUGGAUAACCUACCUAUAAGACUGGGAUAACUUCGGGAAACCGGAGCUAAUACCGGAUAAUAUAUUGAACCGCAUGGUUCAAUAGUGAAAGACGGUUUUGCUGUCACUUAUAGAUGGAUCCGCGCCGCAUUAGCUAGUUGGUAAGGUAACGGCUUACCAAGGCAACGAUGCGUAGCCGACCUGAGAGGGUGAUCGGCCACACUGGAACUGAGACACGGUCCAGACUCCUACGGGAGGCAGCAGUAGGGAAUCUUCCGCAAUGGGCGAAAGCCUGACGGAGCAACGCCGCGUGAGUGAUGAAGGUCUUCGGAUCGUAAAACUCUGUUAUUAGGGAAGAACAAAUGUGUAAGUAACUAUGCACGUCUUGACGGUACCUAAUCAGAAAGCCACGGCUAACUACGUG
rnacentral:rRNA from 1 species